AUGGCUGUCGUCAGCUCGUGUCGUGAGAUGUUGGGUUAAGUCCCGCAACGAGCGCAACCCUUGUCCUGUGUUACCAUGCCGAAAGGCGGCACUCGCAGGAGACCGCCAGCGAUAAGCUGGAGGAAGGUGGGGAUGACGUCAAGUCCUCAUGGCCUUUAUGUCCAGGGCUACACACGUGCUACAAUGGGCGGUACAAAGCGCUGCUAAACCGCAAGGUGGAGCCAAUCGCAAAAAGCCGCUCUCAGUUCGGAUUGCAGGCUGCAACUCGCCUGCAUGAAGCUGGAAUCGCUAGUAAUGCUAUAUCAGAACGAUAGCGUGAAUACGUUCCCGGGCCUUGUACACACCGCCCGUCACAUCACGAAAGUGGAUUGUACUAGAAGUCUGCGCGCUAACCCGCAAGGGAGGCAGCGGCCCAAGGUAUGAUUCAUGAUUGGGGUGAAGUCGUAACAAGGUAGCCGUAGGAGAACCUGCGGCUGGAUCACCUCCUUUCUAAGAGAACGUGGGUGGAGUCGCCGACAAGUACACGGCGAUAGUCGUUCCACUCCAUAAACUCGCUCGGAUUUCUCUGCUCGGGGUUACGGAAGUAGAUAUGGGCUAGGGGCUGGACCCCGGGCUCGCGCGUCCAAUCGGCCUCGAUUGAUUUAUUCUUACCAGGGGCUGUAGCUCAGCUGGGAGAGCGCCUGAUUUGCAUUCAGGAGGUCGCCGGUUCGAUCCCGACCAGCUCCACCAGCUUUGAGGAAAGUCCGCUUGCUUAUGCGCGCGGUCCUGUUCUGAAGCCCAUCCGGGCCUGUAGCUCAGUUGGCUAGAGCGCACCCCUGAUAAGGGUGAGGUCGGUAGUUCGAUUCUACCCAGGCCCACCACGAUUUUGCAGUUGCAUUAUGAUCUUUGACAAUUGAAUAUUGACGGGCAUUUACUACAAGUAAAUGCAGAAGCGCAGAAAGAAUGUACAUCUGUGCUUAGAAUAGAUUUUAUGGUCAAGCUACUAAGGGCGUGUGUGUGGAUGCCUUGGCGCAAGUAGGCGAUGAAGGACGUGGUCAGCUGCGAUAAGCUUCGGGGAGUUGCUAACAAACUGUGAUCCGGAGAUGUCCGAAUGGGGAAACCCG
rnacentral:sRNA from 1 species